GUGAAUCAUCGAAUCUUUGAACGCAAAUUGCACUCUCUGGUAUUCCGGAGAGUAUGCCUGUUUGAGGGUAAUUAUAAAGAAUCUUUAACCAAUUUUUUUGGUCAUAGGGUAUGAGGUGUCCGCGUUUAUAGCGGUAUCUUGAAAUAAAUGGUUAAGUCUCAUUUUAUUUGAGACGCGUAAUACUAUUAUUUCUCUAUAUCUUCAUUAUGUGACUAUCAAGUUUUGAUGUAUUCAAAUGUGGUUUGUAUGCGA
rnacentral:misc_RNA from 1 species